AGCGGUGUUCGGAUUCAUUGGGCGUAAAGGGCGCGUAGGCGGCGGGGUAAGUCUGGUGUGAAAUCUCGGAGCUCAACUCCGAAAUUGCACUGGAUACUGCUCUGCUAGAGGGCUGGAGAGGAGAUCGGAAUUCACGGUGUAGCAGUGAAAUGCGUAGAUAUCGUGAGGAAGACCAGUGGCGAAGGCGGAUCUCUGGACAGCUCCUGACGCUGAGGCGCGAAGGCUAGGGGAGCAAACGGG
rnacentral:rRNA from 1 species